GCUCAGAUUGAACGCUGGCGGCAGGCCUAACACAUGCAAGUCGAGCGGUAACACAAGGGAGCUUGCUCCUGAGGUGACGAGCGGCGGACGGGUGAGUAAUGCCUAGGUAUCUGCCCAGUCGAGGGGGAUAACAGUUGGAAACGACUGCUAAUACCGCAUACGCCCUACGGGGGAAAGGAGGGGACCUUCGGGCCUUCCGCGAUUGGAUGAACCUAGGUGGGAUUAGCUAGUUGGUGAGGUAAUGGCUCACCAAGGCGACGAUCCCUAGCUGGUCUGAGAGGAUGAUCAGCCACACUGGAACUGAGACACGGUCCAGACUCCUACGGGAGGCAGCAGUGGGGAAUAUUGCACAAUGGGCGAAAGCCUGAUGCAGCCAUGCCGCGUGUGUGAAGAAGGCUUUCGGGUUGUAAAGCACUUUCAGCGAGGAGGAAAGGUUAGUGAUUAAUACUCACUAGCUGUGACGUUACUCGCAGAAGAAGCACCGGCUAACUUCGUGCCAGCAGCCGCGGUAAUACGAGGGGUGCAAGCGUUAAUCGGAAUUACUGGGCGUAAAGCGUACGCAGGCGGUUUGUUAAGCGAGAUGUGAAAGCCCCGGGCUCAACCUGGGAACUGCAUUUCGAACUGGCAAACUAGAGUCUUGUAGAGGGGGGUAGAAUUUCAGGUGUAGCGGUGAAAUGCGUAGAGAUCUGAAGGAAUACCGGUGGCGAAGGCGGCCCCCUGGACAAAGACUGACG
rnacentral:rRNA from 1 species